AUAUUAGUAAUUUAAUUAAAAUAUUAGCUUUGUAAACUAUUAAUAGAUAUGAUAUCUCUAAUAUA
rnacentral:tRNA from 1 species